UCGAAGAACCAACCCCACCGACUGCGACUCCCGCUCCACGCGAGGUAGAAGGAGCCGGACGAGCCUCCCUCUCCCACGCCCCGCCAGAAAACCCCCCUCUCCAUGUUCCGCUUGUGCUUUGCGCCCAGCACUUAAACCAAAUGGGCGCCUCCGUCAGGCCGGCCCAAAGUGAAAGAAGCCCGGCCGCUUCGCUUCCCCUUGGCGCAAAGGCGGCGGAAUGAAGCCCGCCUGAACUCCCAGAGCGGCAGAGAGCCCUGGCAAGCCGGAGAGAGGAAGUCGCUUGCAGAGGAUCCUGGAGCGCGUUCUCCGCCAGCCAUUUUCCUCGCCUUCCUCCCGCUCCGAUUCACGCCCUCCUUGAUCCGCUUCUAAUCCUCCGGGAAGGAACCCGCCUUUCUCUUCAGCUUCUCGGGCUCGAGGCGUCCAAGGAGCAAAAGGUCCGCGGGUAGGUCGGGGAGAAGAGGAGCGAGAGCAGGCAGGCCUGUAAGGGGGGCGGGGGGAAGUUGCCCAGCGUUCCUGAAUAGGAAGGGCCGGCCGUCUGGAGCGGAGAGGAGAUCCCUUAACUCUAACUCGCCGGCAGGCCUUUCCCCCAUUUUUUUUUAAAAAAAAAGCAAAAACCGGAGAACGAUCUCCAGUUCACCCUUUGAGGAUCACAUGCAUUGUUAUCGUCAAUGCAUGGUGGGGGUGGGAGGCAGGAGGACAUGAAGCCCUUCUUUGUCACGGUUUCUUGGAAGGAAAGUAAAGGCGGCGAAAGGGACUCGCGGAAGAGCAGCAAGGAGAGAGAGAGAGAGAGAGAGACCCUUCCUGGGUUCCCCAAUAUUUUCCCGGAGCCCUGCUUUAAAGGUACCCGGACGAUCAAGGCUCCGGGGAAGCGUUGGGUAUACGCGCGGGCCAGCAAGCAGCAGAACAAGGGAGGGCGGCCGGGCGGCCUUCAGAUCAUCAGACCGACCCAGAGAUCCGGGCGCCUCCCCAAAGGACGGGAGCGGUCCGCGAAAGAAGGAUCUCUCGAACUGUUCUAAGGCGACUCUGGGCCAGAUGCUUCUCUUCCAGCCGCACCUAAAGCUCGAGACCAGCCAGGCCUGCUCUUUCGCUACCCCUUUUUGUUAACGGAAAGUCAAUGCCUUUAAUUAAAAAUCGUUAAAUAAAUCCAUCUCUUUACUAGCACAAAUAUACUUUCUCUACCGAGUUUGCAAAAGAUAUCGACAGAAACUCGAGCGGCAGGGUCCAGAGACAGUUUGAUUUCUUGGGGGGGGGGGAGAGAAACAAUGCUUUUUAAUCACACACAUCUAUAUAUCAGAUUCUUUAAAAAAAACUAUUCCCUUUUAUGCUAGCAUUUGCAGCAGUCUUCUUUUAAAAUAAUUUUCCCUUUGUAUGUUUUGUAUUUUCGUAGGACAGUCUUAAUGCAUAUUUACUCAAAAACAAGACUUACUGUCUAAAAUAAGGCUUAGACCAGGAUCAGUGUGCUAUGACUUGUAGUAUAAAGCUGCCCAUUUACACAGGAGUAAAUGCAUUCACACAUGAGUAAUCAAAAUUCACAACUGUACAUUGUCAAUUGCUCUUCUUUCCAGUGGAAAAUAAAGCAGCGAUAUUUAAGCAGAUGAGAGUGGGAGUUUAGAUUUAAAAUCUGACUUGGAAAUAGUAUUAUGUUUGUGAUUCUAAAUAAACCAGGAAAUGGAUAUGAAAAGAUUUUUGCAGGCAGCUUAAGAGAAGUGUUUUAAUUAUAUAAUGAAAAAUGUAGCUAUGUAUGACUUCUAGUUUGAUGUAAAGGCAAGCUUUAAAUAUAUUUUUGUAAGUAGAAUUGUGGCAAAUUCUAUUGCACUUGAGCUGUAAUAUUUGUGAUUUUUUUUUAGAAAGAUAGUGUGCGUCCAAUUUUGAGCAAUUUGAGGUUUCCAGGAUAGACUUUGAAAAGUAGAAAAACAUGGAUCCUUGAAUUUGUAAUUCAUUUUUUAAAAUAAAUUCCAAUGCUCUAUCCAGCAGCCUGAAGUUUAUUUCAGAAUUGUAACAAAAAGGGUAAUUAUUUCCAAAGGAUGUUGGGUUUGAUGGAAGCCUGCAAAAAUAUGUGGGUAAAUUCCCAACCAAAUUUUGAAUGUAUUUAAAGACAAAGGAAAUGAUAUCCAUUAGGAAAAGCUAUAUGAAGCCUCCUUUUAAGAUUGCUUGAAGAGAAAACUAUUAGUAUAUAGAUUCUUCCUUCUCCUUAAGUACAGUAGUAUCACUUGAAAAAGAAAUUUAGUUUUCUUCAGAUAGUACAUUUUCAGGAUAGUAUUAAAGUAAAAAUGGGGUCUUGUAAUACAGAGCAAAUUGUACUUAAGAGGAUAGUACUACUAUAUUGCUCUUUUGUUUUUCUUUUCUGUAUAAAACAUUUUUCUCUUGGAAAGAGGAAUGUACUUAAUGAUGUGGAUUUUCAACGACAAAGUGCACAAGAACCUUAUAGUAAGUAAGUUACAUGAAAGGAGAUAAAUGCAAAAUCGCACUAGGAACGGACUAGCUGUUAACAAAAACAGCUUGCAAAGUGGGAUGGAAGGAAAAGGUGACAUUUUUCCUACUUCAGAAUUAAAUCGGCGGAAACGGCGCCUCCUAAUAAAAAGCAAUAUCAAGAAAGACAAUACGUCAAAAGGAAAGAGGAAGAAGAACAAUUCACGCAUGCAAACGGCAGACACAAUUACUUACAGACCGCUGCUUUCCUGGGUCAACGUUCCGUUUAACACGCCACCGACACCAAACAAUCCAAAGCGGGGGAGGGAAAACCGACCUCACGGCAAAAAAGUAAGGGCACCCAAACAGGAAGGGCACCCAGCCCGAGCCAUGAUUAAAAA